GAUGAACGCUGGCGGCGUGCCUAAUACAUGCAAGUCGAGCGAACGGACGAGAAGCUUGCUUCUCUGAUGUUAGCGGCGGACGGGUGAGUAACACGUGGCUAACCUACCUAUAAGACUGGGAUAACUUCGGGAAACCGGAGCUAAUACCGGAUAAUAUUUUGAACCGCAUGGUUCAAAAGUGAAAGACGGUCUUGCUGUCACUUAUAGAUGGAUCCGCGCUGCAUUAGCUAGUUGGUAAGGUAACGUCUUACCAAGGCAACGAUGCAUAUCCGACCUGAGAGGGUGAUCGGCAACACUGGAACUGAGACACGGUCCGGACUCCUACGGGAGGCAGCAGUAGGGAAUCUUCCGAAAAGGGCGAAAGCCUGACGGAGCAACGGCGCGUGAGUGAUGAAGGUCUUCGGAUCGUAAAACGCUGUUAUUAGGGAAGAACAUAUGUGUAAGUAACUGUGCACAUCUUGAAGGUACAUAAUCAGAAAGACACGGCUAACUACGUG
rnacentral:rRNA from 1 species